rnacentral:rRNA from 1 species
UGCCGCUUGCGAGGGCGUAUGGUGGAUGCCUUGGCAGACAGUACCGAUGAAGGACGUUUGAGGAUGCGAUAAUCCUAGGGGAGCCUCCAACAUGGCUUUGAUCCUAGGGUCUCCGAAUGGGGGAACCCGCCGGCCGUCAUGGGCCGGCACCGCCUAUGGGCGGGGGGUACGCAGGGAAGUGAAACAUCUCAGUACCUGCAGGAAGGGAUACUCCGUGAGUAGUGGCGAGCGAAAGCGGAUCAGACCAAACCGGUUGCGCGUGAUACCCGUCGGGGGUUGCGUUGCCGGUGUCGUGGGAUCACGUGUCCCGGUUCCGACGGGCCGGGCGGGAGUCAUAAAACGGCUUGCCAGGGGAACAGGCUUGAAGGCCUGGCCGUAGAGGGUGCCAGCCCCGUACCUGGACGUGAGCCGUCUUCCGAUCGUGUUGUCCCAAGUAGCGCGGGCCUCGUGGAAUCCCGCGUGAAUCAGCCCAGACCGUUGGGUAAGUCUAAGCAUACCUGUCUGACCGAUAGCGUACCAGUACCGUGAGGGAAAGGUGAAAAGCACCCCGGGAGGGGAGUGAAACAGUUCCUGAAACCGUGCGCCCACAAACCGUCGGAGCCUCCUUGUGGGGUGACGGCGUGCCUAUCGAAAAAUGAGUCUGCGAGUCAGUGGCGGGUGGCGAGCAUAAGCCGUGUGGCGUAUGCGUAGCGAAAGCGAGUCUUAAAAGGCGUUUUCAGUCGCUUGUCCUGGACCCGAAGCGGGAUGAUCUAGCCCUGGGCAGGUUGAAGCGCGGGUAAGACCGCGUGGAGGACCGAACCCACCUGGGUUGAAAACCGGGGGGAUGACCUGGGGCUAGGGGUGAAAGGCCAAUCAAAUUCCGUGAUAGCUGGUUCUCUCCGAAAUGCAUUUAGGUGCAGCGUCGGUCGAUUGCGUCGCGGGGGUAGAGCUACCGGAUGCUUGCGGGCCCUUGUUGGGUACCAACAGCAGCCGAACUCCGAAUACCGUUGACGUGUAUUCCGGCAGUGAGUCGGCGGGGGAUAAGCUCCGUCGUCGAGAGGGAGACAGCCCAGACCGUCGUCUAAGGUCCCGAAGCGUGUGCUAAGUGGGAAAGGAUGUGGAGUCGCAUAGACAGCCAGGAGGUUGGCUCAGAAGCAGCCAUCCUUGAAAGAGUGCGUAACAGCUCACUGGUCUAGUGGUUCCGCGCCGACAAUGUAGCGGGGCUCAAGCACACCACCGAAGACGCGGCAGCAAUCUUCAUGGUUGCUGGGUAGGAGAGCGUCCUGCAUGGGGCGAAGCGGCGGUGGAAACCGGCCGUGGACCGUGUGGGAGUGAGAAUGCAGACAUGAGUAGCGAGAGACGGGUGAGGAUCCCGUCCGCUGGAUGACCAAGGGUUCCGGGGCCACGUUCGUCGUCCCCGGGUGAGUCGGGUCCUAAGGCGAGGCCGACAGGCGUAGUCGAAUGGAUGAACGGGUGGAUAUUCCCGUACCGACCAUGGACCGGCAAAACCGAGACGGUGAGUACUAACCUCCGCCUCGUGGUGGUUCCUUCCUUCGGGUUGGUUCCGCCGCGUGGCGUUGGGAGCGUAGCCGUAGUAGGUCAGCGCAGGGGUGACACGGAAUGGGAGCCGGCCGCGGAGGUGGUUUUCCGUGGUCAAGCACGCAGCCAGUCAUGUAGGCAAAUCCGCAUGGCGUGCAUGGCGAGGUGUGAUGAUGGGAGCCGUUAUGGCUCGAUAUCCGGUUGUCCAGGCCGUCGAGAAAAGCCUCGGCGUGAGGGCCAUGGCCGCCCGUACCCCAAACCGACACUGGUGGUCAGGUAGAGAAUACCAAGGCGAUCGAGCGAAUCCUGGUCAAGGAACUCGGCAAAUCACUCCCGUGCCUUCGGUAUAAGGGAGACCCGCUGGGGUGAAGGACCUUGCGUCCGGAGCUUUGGUGGGUGGCACAGACCAGGGGGUAGCGACUGUUUACCAAAAACACAGGUGCAUGCGAAGGCGAAAGCCGCUGUAUAUGCACUGACGCCUGCCCGGUGCCGGAAGGUUAAGAGGAUCCGUCAGUCCUUCGGGAUGAAGCGGUGAAUUCAAGCCCCGGUAAACGGCGGUGGUAACUAUAACCAUCCUAAGGUAGCGAAAUUCCUUGUCGGGUAAGUUCCGACCUGCACGAAUGGCGUAACGA